GGCAGUUUCCUGGGAACCUUGGCAUGUGCCUGCAGUCUCCCAGGGAGAGGCCUGUUGGCUUCCAGCUUCCUUCCCUCUGAGGAAACCAGAGGCAGUCCUCCCUCUCUAUAAAGAUGCCCAGGAGGAAAGACUCACAGGGAGAAACCUAUGCCUGCCUGCUAGGAAAGGGUGGGCAGGCGGGGGAAAACCUGGUUAUACCUGUCAACCCAUCCUCCCCAGCCUCCCAGCUGAAACGGCCGCCAUGGAGCAACAGGUCCCUCCCUCAGGCCAGGAUGUCCUGCUUGGAGCCCAUUUCCUGUUAAGCAGAGAGAUUCUCAAGAGUUGACAAACCAGUUCUUCAACUAUCGGCUUUAACUCCACAGUCCUCACCAGGUCAAUCUUCUGAACUGGAGAGACAGAGUUUGCCUUUUACAAAGAAAAUGGGGGCAGCCCCUUCUCAAAGAGAGAUGCCAAGCUCAGCUGCUCCUAAACAUGGUACCUGGCUCAGACUUUCUGAGGAUGUCACCGACAGCAUUUUUGUGUAGUGCAGCAGUGAUGACACCUUGGUUUUACAGGUCAUGAUAUGGUCCUGCUGAGAAUCCCUGGGCUUCCCGGUUUGCUCCGAGCAGACUCCCUUGGCAGGUGGCCUCUUGACCCUUGUUCAGUGACUAGGCUUUACCACAGAUAACCAGGUUUCCAGGAUGAUGAACUCCUGCCCUUACAUUUCCAAGUAUGUCCUUCCCCCUCUACACAUACACCCCUCCACCUCUGUCCCCACUGCUGCGCUCCUCCACUUUGUUAGGGUUCCGGUUGCUGACCAGAACACCAGGGCUCACUGGUGUAAGACUGUUUACUGACUUUGCCACACUCUUGGGUGUAGUCAGCCUUCCUACCCUCUACUGCCCACAUCCAGAGCCUUGUCUGUCCUGGUGGGCAAGUUUCAUGCCAGGACCUGGCUCCCUCUAGCCCCUCCCUGCCUUCCCAUUCCAAAAAUAUGACACAUUGCAAUGACCCUGAAUGCGUAACAGGCUGAGAGAACAGACGCCUCUGCCUGGAGCAAGAAUGUGGCAUUCUCAUCCCCCUCACAACCCCCAUCCCUGGGAAAACCCAACAAGAUGAGGCUUGGCCUUGUUUGGGUUGCAGCCAGUUUUACCUAUUCCACAGAGGAAAUUGCUAUUUUGGACCUAACUCCAACAAGGUUGAGGCGAUUGGUUGAUAGGAAGUCUCAGAUAUUGUGUUGACUGAAAAAUGGGCACCGUUCAGUCAAGAGAGGCUGAUAGGGGAGUGAAAGGAGCUUCAGCUUUGUGCUCAGAAUGACCUUAAGUUCAGUUCCCACCUUGGUGUGAACUUGGGCAAGUCACUUAACCUUUGUGAGAUCCAAUCUCCCCUUUCAUGUUACGGGGCUAAUAAUCCUCCCUAUUUUGUAGGGUUAUUAUAGGAUGAAAUGUGGACUCACCGACAGCGUUAAGCAUGUACUGGGAACACAACCAAUGCUCAGCUGAAUACCCUCUUGACCAGCCUACAGUAUGGGUUUAAUAAAUGUUAGUUUAAAGAGUCAGAUUUCCAAAUGUUAAAUGAAAACAUGUAUUUUCU
ensembl:lncRNA